ACAUGGCCAUGUACAUCGAGAUUUAUUCAAUUCUGCGUGCCUGAUUUACAAACUAUACAAACAAAACUGUCCUACAAUAAUUAAUCCAACUACGAGAAUCAAAUCCUGAAAAAAAAAGUUAACCAAUGGCUACCUCACAACCAGGGGCGGAGCUGGAGCAAAUGUUACCCGAUGCACCACUUUAACAAGGAGUAAAAUUUUCAGGCAGCGAUGUAUUGAAUAAGGGUUUGUUUCACAGAUUCUAGCACAUUUUGUCGGAUGUAAUAGAAGGCAGUGAGUAAAAACAGAAUGUAGCCAUCAAAAUGUUUACUAUAAUGCUAAAAAAAGGGGGCAAAAUUACUUGAAAAGGUUGUCUUGCAUUUUGAAAUUCCAGAAUACAUCAUCCGACAGCAGGGCACAUAAUGUACAAGAUAAAAAUGGAAUUAAACUUUCUAGUAAAACAUAAUAAAAUGUCCAUGAAAGUAUUUAAAUGGCUAAAAAAUUGGAAAUUACCUUUAGUACGUUUGAUCAAUUUUCUCUUGCCCGGAUGAUAUUGAAUCUCCUCUUCCCUAUUUAUGUGUUCCGGAACAUCCUGUGAUGAUGCUUUUCUUUUGAGAAUAAAUGAAAUAUAACCUAAUUAGAAGUUAUAGUAUUUGUAUCUGACAAUGAAUGAAAUAUAACCUAAUUAGAAUUUAGAAGUUAUAACCCUAGAAAAUGUCUCAUGCUUUGCCAAAACAUAGUGGUUUAUUCUAUUUGUUACUAGUUUAUACAUAAUUGACUAAUCAUUGCAGUUUGUAAACAAAAUUAGGAACGGCAAGACAAAGGCGUUACCAUUGUGGCCUUUGAUACGCAUGGAAACGAGGACUCAAGAUUGGAAAGGUUGCCAAAUUACGGAGCGCUGGACCGGCCGACGGCGUGCGGCGUCGCUCGCGUGCAUCGCGUCAUCACCAAAGGACUCGGGGUUCGUGGCCUGCGGCGUCCGGCGGCCGGUGCCCUGCCGCCGCCGCCGCCGCCGCCGCCGCCUGUGUACGCGAGGGCGAGGCGUAUGGAGGGACCGGAUCUGUACGCGUCUAGUCUACACAGACCUGAUCGAUGGAUGGAUUUUUUUAGUUUUUUAAGUGGAGGAAGUUGGAUCGAUUAGGCUACGGGAGGGGAGGUGCGUAUGCUCGCGUUUUCCGCACUGGCCCAACACGGUAACGCAGCAGGCCGGAGGAGUGGCCGAAUAGGGCCGACCCUGAUGCACUGCUCUUGGCCCAACCUGAUGCACUGGGCCUUUUUAGUUGAUAAAUACUACUAGCAAAUAUUUGGACCCGUAUUCCUGUGCAUACGGGACGGCCCAAUGGGCUCCGCCCAUGCUCACAACGCACAGAGCGAUCACAAAAACGCCGAAAGAAUGAA
rnacentral:lncRNA from 1 species